AAACAUUAGCACAAACACCUAAUUUUAGAGUAUCAAUUGGGCACUUGCCUUUGGAUGGGCUAGGACUUGGUUUUGGUUUUGGUUUAGGACUUGGGCAAGUGCCACAUGCACUCACAAGGGAGAAAAAGAGAAGGUUGACAAGAAGAAAGAGAGCAAGAGAAGUAGUUUUCUUAGAAGCCAUUUCUAAGAGUCUAAAAUUUCUUAAUGAUUGAUAUAACUAUCAACUUUAGUAGUUAUAAGUAGAUUGUUG
rnacentral:lncRNA from 1 species